rnacentral:rRNA from 1 species
AGUGAACGCCGGCGGUAGGCCUAACACAUGCAAGUCGAAUGGCAGCACAGUAAGAGCUUGCUCUUACGGGUGGCGAGUGGCGGACGGGUGAGGAAUACAUCGGAAUCUACUUUUUCGUGGGGGAUAACGUAGGGAAACUUACGCUAAUACCGCAUACGACCUACGGGUGAAAGCAGGGGAUCUUCGGACCUUGCGCGAUUGAAUGAGCCGAUGCCGGAUUAGCUAGUUGGCGGGGUAAAGGCCCACCAAGGCGACGAUCCGUAGCUGGUCUGAGAGGAUGAUCAGCCACACUGGAACUGAGACACGGUCCAGACUCCUACGGGAGGCAGCAGUGGGGAAUAUUGGACAAUGGGCGCAAGCCUGAUCCAGCCAUACCGCGUGGGUGAAGAAGGCCUUCGGGUUGUAAAGCCCUUUUGUUGGGAAAGAAAAGCAGCAGGUUAAUACCCCGCUGUUCUGACGGUACCCAAAGAAUAAGCACCGGCUAACUUCGUG